ensembl:lncRNA
ACCUGCUGGGACGGGACCCAGCCCGCGCUUCCCCCCACUACAGGCCGCGUCUUCAUUGUGCUCCUGCUGCCGCCGCCGCCAUUUUCCCCGCCGCCGCCGCCUCAGUCCCCGCAUCUGUCAGGUCCUCCAUUCACCUGGGCCCGGGACGGCCGCCCUCCCUCCCCCUUCCCCCCGCGCUACGGGCCGGCGCUACGCAAACGGAGCGCCGCCCCGCCCCUCCCGCCCGUACCAACGGGGCCGCCCAGGCCCGCGGCGCAACCCCGCUCCGAGAAUGCCGCCCUGCGCAGACCGCACGCUCCGCAUUCCCCACGCGAUGAGAGGAGCCCGGCGAUUGGCUGCCGGGGCUGGGUAAAAGAACUCUGUAAUCACACCAGUGGAAACCGGGCUUUUUGGCUCCACUCGUCUCAUCAGGUUCUAAAAUGGACUCUGAAGAGAUUCCUUCCUGCAAGACAAUGGUGACCUCUGUUGUUCCCUCCCGUUGGUACCAGCCAUGAUGCUGUUUUGGCCUUGUGUCACGCACUAUUUCAAUAGUGGACUUUGAAACAAGCGGGCAGUUACUGAGAAAAUCUGGGCUGAAGUGUUGCAUUCAAGUUUCUGUCCAGGAAAGGAUGUGUCUAUUCUGCACUCUGCUUAAGAAAAUUUUCCCUGCGGGUUUCGUCUCAAGCAGCCCCUAGUCUGGCUACCAGGUUUUCCAGUUCAUAGCUGUGAAUCACUGCAGGAAGGAGCAGUUGCAAACAUUUUAAGCCACAGUGCAGUAAUAACACCUGCAAUGUGUUAUGAGAAAAAGCUGCAGGUAUUAUUAUAGAGAAGGAAGUUGGAAAAAAUAAUAACCUGUUUUGAACAGAUUCCAUUUCUAAAACUGGAGCUGAGAUUUUAAAAAGGUGUUAGGUGGCACAAAUCUUUGUGUUGCCCUAAGAUGCUUUAAAAAAAAUUUUUGGUGUACUUUCACACUUCAGUGACUCAGACUUCUUAACUCCAAGGAUAUUUUCCCUAGCGCAAGAGAAACUUCAAUAGUUUUAACUGCUUUCUUUUUUAACCUCUUUAAAUUGCUGAUAUGAGGACAUGAGCUGACAUAGUUUGGAAACUGACUCCUCUCUCUCCAGAAAAUUCUUUCCAGGCAAACUUCUCUACUUUUUCCUUGGAUUUCUCCAGACUGAUGAUCUCCUCCAUCAUCUUCUACCUGUGCUAUGGUCUCUAGAGUGUCUCUAUCACAGUGACACGUCAGUAAAGAAACCCCUCAAACUCAGAUGAUUGGUAAAGAAGAAUAAGGAUGAAGAAAAAUAAAUGUUGUGUUAGGAAACA